AUUGAACGCUGGCGGCAUGCCUUACACAUGCAAGUCGAACGGCAGCAUGGAGAGCUUGCUCUCUGAUGGCGAGUGGCGAACGGGUGAGUAACGCAUCGGAACGUACCGUGUAAUGGGGAUAACGUAGCGAAAGUUACGCUAAUACCGCAUACGACCUGAGGGUGAAAGCAGGGGAUCGCAAGACCUUGCGUUAUACGAGCGGCCGAUGUCAGAUUAGCUAGUUGGUGAGGUAAAGGCUCACCAAGGCGACGAUCUGUAGCGGGUCUGAGAGGACGAUCCGCCACACUGGGACUGGGACACGGCCCAGACUCCUACGGGAGGCAGCAGUGGGGAAUUUUGGACAAUGGGGGCAACCCUGAUCCAGCCAUGCCGCGUGAGUGAAGAAGGCCUUCGGGUUGUAAAGCUCUUUCGGCCGGGAAGAAAUCGCACAGGCUAAUACUCUGUGUGGAUGACGGUACCGGCAUAAGAAGCACCGGCUAACUACGUGCCAGCAGCCGCCGUAA
rnacentral:rRNA from 1 species